AAGAAGCAAGACCGUGAGGUGGAGCAAAACUCAAAAACUUAGUCUCAGUUCGGAUUGUAGGCUGAAACUCGCCUACAUGAAGCUGGAGUUGCUAGUAAUCGCGAAUCAGCAUGUCGCGGUGAAUACGUUCCCGGGCCUUGUACACACCGCCCGUCACACCAUGAGAGUUGGCAAUACCCAACGUACGUGAUCUAACCCGCAAGGGAGGAAGCGUCCUAAGGUAGGGUCAGCGAUUGGGGUGAAGUCGUAACAAGGUAGC
rnacentral:rRNA from 1 species